rnacentral:lncRNA from 10 species
UGCUUGUUCCAGCAAAAUUUUGACUAGGAAAGACAAGUCUGUAAAUCAAGAAACAACUUCAUAGUUUGCCUCAGGAAAUUUCCACAGAUCAUUUUUUCCCCCAAGCACAAUAGUCUGCUUACUUGGGUGAAUGGCUCGCUUAUAAAAACAGCUUACUUAUAAAGGCUUUGGUUCAAGACCUUUCUUUCAAUUGCAUCAGCCAUUCCUAAACUAUUAUGUCACACAGUACUUUGCCCUGUUUCAAACGGUUCUCCACCUUGACCUUGCCUUUAACCAAUUGAUCGCAGACUCUGAAACCCUGUAAAUAUCCCACUUCUGACUUCUCCCUUCUGAGACACUGCUAAGCCUCCAUCAAGAUGGCAUUUUCUCUUACUGCAGUAUAAUCUUGCAAUGGUGGUUUCAAAAGCUGACUGGAAGAAAGCGGAAGGAAUGCUUGCCUCAUCUUGAAGACAUCAGGUGCAUUCCUGAGAAGCUACAGAGGGCCUCCAAAACUGUAUAUGCUUUCAGCCCUAAAAAACCAGAUCCGACCAGGGUGGAGCCAAGAUGGCCAAAUAGGAAUAGCUCCAGUCUACAGCUCCCAGCGUGAGCGACGCAGAAGACGGUGAUUUCUGCAUUUCCAUCUGAGGUACUGGGUUCAUCUCACUAGGGAGUGCCAGACAGUGGGCGCAGGACAGUGGGUGCAGUGCACCAUGUGUGAGCCGAAGUGGGGCGAGGCAUUGCCUCACUCGGGAAACACAAGGGGUCAGGGAGUUCCCUUUCCUAGUCAAAGAAAGGGGUGACAGACAGCACCUGGAAAAUCGGGUCACUCCCACCCUAAUACUGCACUUUUCCGAUGGGCUUAAAAAACGGCACACUAGGAGAUUAUAUCCCACACCUGGCUUGGAGGGUCCUACGCCCAUGGAGUCUCGCUGAUUGCUAGCACAGCAGUCUGAGAUCAAACUGCAAGGUGGCAGCAAGGCUGGGGGAGGGGCGCCCACGAUUGCCCAGGCUUGCUUAGGUAAACAAAGCAGCCGGGAAGCUCGAACUGGGUGGAGCCCACCACAGCUCAAGGAGGCCUGCCUGCCUCUGUAGGCUCCACCUCUGGGGGCAGGGCACAGACAAACAAAAAGCAGUAACCUCUGCAGACUAAAAUGUCCCUGUCUGACAGCUUUGAAGAGAGCAGUGGUUCUCCCAGCACGCAACUGGGGAUCUGAGAAUGGGCAGACUGCCUCCUCAAAUGGGUCCCUGACCCCUGACCCCCGAGCAGCCUAACUGGGAGGCACCCCCCAGUAGGGGAAGACUGACACCUCACACGGCCGGGUACUCCUCUGCAACAAAACUUCCAGAGGAACGAUCAGACAGCAGCAUU